rnacentral:misc_RNA from 1 species
UGGGCGGGGCGGAAGGAGGCGGUGGCCUCACUGAUCGACGGGCUGAAAAGGGUAACACACUAGCCGACAAGUGCAGCAGCACCCUUGCCACUACAGAGCCCUUCUUCACGCGUUUUUUUUUAUCCGGCUUCUGUUGUUUCGUAGUCCUCGCACUAACGUUGGCGUUCGCCACACAAUCGGACCCUAGUUGUUCACUUAGACACAUACACACACGCACAGGUACCAUUCAAAGUAAUCCAAUAUGCUGCCAUGUCGGGUGAGGGCUCUCCUGUUCCGUUUGACGCUGUCGGCGGCCACAAGUCGUCCAUCUUCUAUGGCGAAACGGCCCACGGCGGCCGCGGCACACUACGGAAGAAGACCACGGCGUGGGAGAUAAUGUACUAUCUCGCUAUGGAGCUCGCCAAGGAGGACGCGCUUGCGCAACAGCCGAGAACGAUGCACCUUCGUGGCGACGAAGCGCGCGCCAAGUUUGUCCGCGCUGCGGGCAAGAUGGCCGCGUUUGCCUCGACUCUUUUCUCCAUUCGCUUCCCUGAGAAGUAUAUGGCCAAGUCGGCAGCGCUGAAGCCGUACAUGGAGAACACAGACAAGUGGGUCAUCGUGGAAGCCGGCGCACCGGCCCGCAGCGCUGUUCUUGCACCGCUCUUCAACGAGCUCUUCGAUGGCGCCGAGCAGCUGAAGGGCUUCGAUGACAGGUAUGACACGGGAAUCUGGGGCCUUGGCCUUGUCGACGAGACGUCGGGCAUGCAGAGGCCGUGCAUCAUGGACGUCAAGAUCGGCUUUAUCCGGCACUCACCGCUCACACCAGAGGACAAGGUGACGCGGAUCGUAAAUAAGGAUCAAAAAGCGCUGGUGCGGGACACGGCGUUGCGCAUCUGCGGCUGCCGACGGUACAUUCACGCCGCUGCGGGCACAGAAGGCGCGAGGGCGAGUUUGACGUGCGAGCGCUUUGGCAAAGAUAUCGGGUACGCCAUGACCCACGUGCGGGAGCUCAGCACCUGCCUCAAGAUGUUCCUGUCGAUUGGCGCGCCACUCGCGGAGACAAACGAAGACGGGCAGCUCGCCUUCCACACCGAGGAGAUGGGCGCCGCCACCAGCACAGAAAGGACGCGCAUGAAGCAGCGUAUACGUCACGUACGCGCUGAAAUCAAAUCGCUGCUGGACUUCUUUGAAAGUACGCCAGACGGCGCCUUCAUGCUGCAGCGCAUGGCCUUUGUUUCGGCAAGCGUGCUCCUCCUGUAUGACGCGGCCGCCUCGCCGGCGACAGCGAGGCUAUGCCUCAUCGACUUUGCCCGAUCUACGUGGCGCAAGUUUAACUUUGAUGAGUCCACCAUAGGAUUUAUCCAGGGCCUCAAAAAUCUGGACGCCUACCUUUCGUUUUAGCGACAUGCCCCCCUUCACUCUGUCUUUCCUCUCAUGGUGUUUUUUUUUCCUGCUCGCAUUUGCUCGAUUCGAUAGCUGUUCGAAACUCUUAGCGUGUCAUCGCUUGCAGAAAGAGAGAGAGGGAGCAACUAAGCCGAGUUUCUCUUCUUCUCCCACAGGCACGCCUCCCGGCACUCACAGCCUUCGUUUCUCUUCCCCUUUCUUCGUGUUGCGUGCUUAGCAUGCCUGCUUGUCGUUUCUUCACCUUCUUCGCUAUGUUGUGUGUAUUAUCAUGUUUUCUUUGCUUUUGGUUCUGUGUUUUUGACCCGUAUCGCUCGUGUGUUCUCCCCUCCCCUUGUUUGCGUGUGCGCGCGUGCUCGCCUCAUGUUUGCCCCUGUUCCUGUGAUGCUCUUUCUUUCUCUCUGUGGUGCUCCGUUGCUCCUGUGGACACACCCAGAAGCUAUCGUCGUCUUUGUGUUGCUAAGUACGCAAGCUGCGGGAAGGCACGCGACCAUGGUUUUAGGUGGGAGCAAGCAACGAAAAGGCGGAGGGGAGCUUCUGAAGGGACCAGUGUUUUUUUUUUUUUUGCUUUUGUUGCUGCGCCGUUUUCUCUGUGUAUGUGCAUGCCUUCACUCCUUGCUCCGACACGGCCCGCCACGCUGGCACUCUCGUUUUGUUCUGGUGCUGGACGACGAAAGCGACGACGAAGAAAACAAAACGACCUCAUUCUUGCUUUUGCGGCGCUGUGUGCGCUUUUGACGUCUUGUAGGUUUUGUUGAGUGUGUGUCUGUACGCAUGUGGGGAUGCCAUGCCUGUAACGCAAAUCGGAACGGAAGAGCAGCGAGAGGAAAACCUACGAAUUAUAUGCCGCGACUGUAAAACGCGUCCCUCGUUGUGUCGCGCGCGCCCGCUGCGCUUAAACGCGGUUUUCUUUCUUAAACACCUCCGUCUCAUCGCCAUAGAUGGUGCGCGCUGUCUUUGCGAAUGCCUUGCCUUGUGGUCUCUCGCUCCUUUU